UGAAUAACAAAAAUGAAUGAAUUAAAGAUAUUUAGUUUUAUAAAAGUUAAAGUCAAUAUCACUAGUAUUAACAGUAUCUUCUAUUUAAUUUAUAAAAGAAAACAACCCACAAAUCUUAAAUUAAAAAGAAACUAGUGCAAAAGCCUUUUGUUAAAAUUCAAAGAAAAUAUGGUUACACACCUCGACUGUGGCAGCUGUGCCUACCUGCCAUAUAUGGCUCUGCAAGUGAAAAGAACUUUUUAGUGAGUUUUUAAGCUUAGCAUCUCUAGAUUGAAAUAGGCUUGAAGUUACUGGUGAGGCACAUGACGCGGUCUAGUCUCCCAUGGUUGACCAGUGCAUCAUAGCAUAUGACAUAUGAUGUCACAGCAAUGACGCGACAGUUACUUGCUAUUUUCUUCGUAACACAUUGUUCUUUUUUUAUUUUAUUGAAGAGCAUCAUGGCCAGGGGCCACGAAAAAUCACAUCAGGGCUGUCAGUUUGACUCCUCUACUUUACACAGUAAGAACAUCUAUUCAAUUUUAAUAUUAAAAUCAGAUAGUUAUAUAGUGUAUAAAUGAAAUAUAUCAACAUAUUUAGUAUAUAAAUAAAAAUUUUUAGCCUUGACAACUGCCAUAGUUCAAAUACUAUUGUCCCAUGUGAUCUUUAUGACGACAUUGCCAAAUGGCCUUCCUAUUGGUCUAAUUUUUACUAUUCUGCUUUCUGCAAUGGCAGAAGUUGAAAAUUUUCAACUUCAUAUUCUGUCACCUUCAACUAUAAAAGUGGCAUCAUUUUGCCAUUCUGUUGACAGUUUCCAUCGUCCAUUUCCACAUGUGAGUACCAGGCUUUAUACAAGCACUUCACAUGUAAGAACAUAAUUCAAUUAACAACUUAACUUCAAAAGUAUACAUUUUUGAAGUCAGUUAUAACCAGACUAAUUUUCAUAACAUAUAUAUAAUAAAUUUGGUAGAAUCAUAUCGGCACUCAGCACAACACCACUGAAAGAUUGCCAACCCCUAUUCUAGAACUAUCCUACUCAACACUCCUGUGGAUACAACCUCUGGCUCUUUCAAAAGCUCCAAAUUGUUUGUGAAGAAAAAAUACAAGCUAACGGGUAUUUGUUUGUUUAACUGGUAUCCAAGUGAUUCACUUCCAUCUCACUGUCUAUCUGACCUCCUCCAUCUGAAAUCUGAUUGCCUAUGCAUGCAAUCACAUGUGUAACUAAAGUAGAAUGAAAAUAAACAGCCAUUGCAGCUUCUGUUCUGUUCACCAGGACACAGUGGUGUCAUCCCGGUGAGGUCACCAACAACUGACCCUCUGGUCACAUGUAUGUUUAAUGAUAAAGUUAUUUAUUUAGCUGGAUACAUGCAUGGCUGGUUACACAUUCUCUUCUUAAAUUUUUAUCAUGUGAAAAUGAAUGUAACUGGAACAGUUGAAUACAUGGACAAAAGGGUUGUUGUUAAACUAAGCAGUGCUUCUAAGCGAUGCUGCUGAGAAUGUUGUUAAACUUGUUUUCUUGAAGCGCUGCACACAGCGAACUUCUCAGCAAUUUCACUGGUUCUGGGUUAAAUCUGCAGUGAUCGAAUGAGGUGCUUUUUCUGCUUUAACAAAAUAACAGUGACCACAGUGGACGAGAACUUAAACAUUAAAUUAAAAAUUGAUUCUUCAAUAAAAUGUCAUUUAGAAAAUGAUCAUGAUUUCAUUCCUCGUUUCUUUGAAGAACUGAUACAAGUAACUGAUACAUGAGAGGAGAAUGAGAGAACAAAUCAGUUUACUGGAAGAUGUAGAUGUUAAUUCAAUAAGACUGGUCAGCAAAUCACAUGAGGGAGAAUCGGGAGACUUCUCUUGGACUGAUUCAUCCACACGGUUGUUGAUAACAACAAGAUUAAAUAUGGACAGUGAGUUUAGAAAACCAAUAAGAAAAACAAAAUUAUGGGAUUCAAUAUCAAAAAAGUUGGAAAGUCAUGGUUACACUGCUUCUCCCAGUGGCUGUGAUAAAAAAUGGAGAAAUCUAAAGACGACUUACAAAAGAAAUAGGGAUAAAGCAAAAUAACACACUGGAGAAUCUGCCAUCACCUGGCCAUACUUAAGUUAUUGGACCAGGAACUUGGAUCUAGAGUGGACAUCAAUCCUCCAGAAGAAAAUAUCAUUUCUUCUGAAUCACGCAUGGACCAGAUCCCAUCCAGCAAACCUUCAAGCAGUUUGUCAGGACUGCCUGCCCACUCUGAAAGUGAUGUGGCAGCAGUACAUCCCCCUUCAGUAAAAGCUUUUCAGAAUCAUGUAAAUUUAAAAAGAAAAGAAGAUCCACCAGAUUGGUUUCAAGCUUGGGCCAGUAAGAAAGAACAAGAAAGAAAAGAGGAUUGUCAGAGAGAAGACCAGCGCUGAUAGGAAUUUAAAGAGAUGGAAGAAUAACGCUUGAAACAAGAAAAAGAAUGUGAAGAGAAGAGAAUGAACAUGAUGAGUUCUCUCCUAA